GCACGAGCAGCUGCUGCAGGCUGCUGCUGCUCCUGGCAGCCGCGGCACCCGAAGCUUCUGCAUGCGCACGUGUGUGCCGCUCUGAGCAGUCCAAGUGCGCCAACGACCGCUGCAUAAACGAGACGUGGCUGUGCGACGAAGGCAACAUCUGUGGCGACGCCAACGACGAGCGCGACUGCUGCACCGGUGACCACUUCGUCUGCGGCGACGGCAGAUGCAUCCCCAAGCAUUGGGAAUGCGACGGCUGGGACGAUUGCAGGGACAGGAGUGAUGAGAA